UGUUCCCUUCAACUUCUAAAUGAUAAUCAUCCAUUGGAAUGUGAGGGGAUUUAACAGGCCCCUCAAACAGAAUGUAGUCAGAAGCUACAUUCUGCAGAAUAAAAUAGAUGUGAUGGGAAUUUUGGAGAUGAAAGUGAAGACACAACAGCAAAUUAAUACACUAAUUCAAAACAGAUUUAGUGGCAUGGCAGCUGUGCAUAAUUUGGAUAUGCAUCAAGGAGGUAGAAUCCUUAUUUUGUGGAACACAGAUACAGUGGAUCUUGAAGUGAAGAGCAGCCAUGCACAAGCAAUACAUUGCUUGAUCAAGUGCAAGGUCACAGGACAACAAUUUCAUUGCACUAUGGUGUAUGGGCUGUAUUCAGUUAGAAGUAGAAGGGAGCUAUGGAGUUCACUUGAAGAGUAUGGAGAGGGGAUGACAGAGCCUUGGCUAGUAAUGGGGGACUUCAACUGUGUGAUGAGUCCAGAAGAGAAGACAGGUGGCAAUAUACCUACUGCAUAUGAGCUAAAAGACUGUACAGAAACAGUUCUGGGGCUAGGAUUGGAGGAUAUACCUUUCACAGGAAGCAUGUUGACCUGGUCAAACUCAGCUGUGGACAACACAAUUUGGAGUAAAUUAGAUAGAGCUAUGGUGAAUUGUGCAUGGUAUGAUCAGCUACCAGUAACAAAGGCUGAGUUCCUUGCUCCUGGUGCUAUAUCAGACCACUCACCUUGCUUGGUCACAAUUCAUAGAGAAAGCAGUAGAGGGCAGACUCAAUUCAAAUUUUUCAACAUGUGGGCUAAACAUGAAGAUUUCAACAAUAUUGUGCAAGACAACUGGAAAUUUGAAGGGUAUGGUACUGAGCAAUACAGGCUAUGUAAGUUGCUAAAGGGCCUGAAAAGACCACUAAAGGCACUUAAUACCUCUGCAUUCAGUCACAUAUCAGCUAGAGCAGAGAGGGCAGUAAAGGAAGUGGAAGCACUGCAGACUCAACUUCAAUCUGACCUGGAUAAUCAGGGGCUAAAAGAGAGCAUUAAACAGAAAAAGAAGAAUGCUAACUACCUACUUGAAGCUGAGAGGCAGUUUUUGACUCAAAAAGCUAAAUGCAACUAUGCCUUGCAUGCAGACAAAACAAACAAGUUUUUUCACAGCAUUGUAAAGAGAAGAGGCAAGAAGAACUUUAUAGCUUCUGUGUACAAAGAAAAUGGGCAGAAGACUGAAUCAGAAGAUGAGAUGGUCACUGAAUUUCUCAAUUUUUAUAAAGACCUGCUAGGCACAGAAGAGAAUUGUGCAGCUCUAGACAAAUCAGUUGUGGAGGCAGGACUAUUACUGAAUGAAGAUGAAGGGCAAGAGUUGAUUGCUGAGGUUACAGAAGCAGAAAUUAGAGAUGCACUUCAGGGUAUAGGGGAUGAGAAGUCACCAGGACCAGAUGGUUUCAACUCACACUUCUACAAAAAAGCCUGGUGCACAGUGGGAAAAGAUGUGGUCAGUGCAGUCCAGGAGUUCUUCAGAAAUGGGAAGCUGCUGAAGCAAAUUAAUCACACUUUGCUUGCACUAAUACCUAAAACAGAAACAUCAUCAAGAGUGGCUGAAUUCAGACCCAUAGCAUGCUGCAAUAUCAGCUACAAACUGAUUUCAAAAGUACUUGCUGCAAGACUAGGAAGAACACUUGAUAAAAUUGUGGAUAAGGCUCAAUCAGCCUUUGUUGAGGGUAGGCUGAUAAAUGACAAUAUUCACUUAGCUGAGGCUAUGGUGAGGCAGUAUGAAAGAGCAAGGUCCACACCUAGAUGCCUGGUCAAAGUUGACUUGAGGAAGGCAUAUGACUCACUUAAUUGGCAGUUUUUGAGAGAAAUGCUACUAGCUCUCAAUUAUCCACAGAUCUUUGUCAAGUGGAUUAUGGAGUGUGUUAGUACUACCUCAUAUUCACUGUCACUGAAUGGAAAAGCACAUGGGCUGUUUGAAGGAAGAAAAGGGUUGAGACAGGGGGACCCCUUAUCACCUAUGCUUUUUGUGUUGGGGCUUGAGUAUUUUUCAAGAUAUCUGGGCAAAAAAGCUAGAGAUGGGGAAUUUAACUACCAUGCCAAAUGUGAUGCAAAGCAGAUCACUCACCUAGCAUUUGCAGAUGACUUGAUGCUGCUAUGUAGGGCAGAUCAGUGGUCACUUCAGGUGCUAAAAGAUAGUUUGACAGAACUGGGUGAAAAAACAGGGCUGAGGGCUAGCAUUUUAAAGUCAAAUGUGUAUUUGGCUGGUGUUACAGAGGCAGAAGCAGUUGAUCUGGCAGCCAUUUUGGAAGUCCCAAGAGGAUCUUUCCCUUUUAGAUACUUGGGCAUCCCUUUAGCAUCAACAAAGCUAAAGGUGAGUCAGUACUCCCCCCUGCUUGAUAAGAUCAAAGGGCUGAUACAGCAGUGGGCAGGAUCUCACCUAUCAUAUGCAGGUAGAUUGGAGCUGAUAAGUACAGUCAUACAGGGGCUUGUGUGCUAUUGGCUAGGUAUUUUCAAAUUACCUAAAGAAGUGAUACACAAG
rnacentral:lncRNA from 1 species